rnacentral:tRNA from 1 species
UCCCUGGUGGCUCAGAGGGUAAAGCGUCUGCCUGCAAAGCAGGAGACCCGGGUUCGAUCCCUGGGUCGGGAA